CUGGCUGGUCGCCGCCGAAGGCCCCGCGCCCAGGCCACGCCCAGCACCCGGGCCACGCCCCACGCUCAGGCCACGCCCCACACACAAGCAGGCGGGGCUAAAUCCAAUCCGACGGCUCUGAGGAACCGAUGGAGUCAAGUUUUUUCCCUGCGCGUGGAGGCUCCGGCCUGACCCCCAUUGCUGGAACUGAAGAUAUAAGCAACUUAGAUUGGAAGCUCUGUCCAAGUUCUCAGAUGACACGAUUUUGUGCAUUAAGGAAAUUGUCAUUAAUAAAUGCAACUUAGGAGCCGCUGAACAAGUAGUCAAAGGACAGCUUGCAGAGCGGGUUUUUACCAAGUGGGUUCCAGUGACUGAACUCUGGUUGUCAGAGUUGGUGACACACACCCUUAUCCACUGAGCCAUCUAGCUGGCCCCCAAGAACUACCUGAAUCAGCCUUGCCACACGAUUUCAGCACCUGUAUUUGCAGGUGCUCGGGAGAACUGUUUAGAAGAGUCACCAGUCUUAAAAAAGGACCUGUGCCAAGAUCCCCUGCGCAUGCCUCUCAUAACUUGGCAGAAAUAUAGCUGAGACUUGUAAUCACAAACCAGAAUGUAUACUGAUCUCUAGGGCUUCAGGAAAGCUGCUCCCUCUCUGAUCUGACUGUAAGAUUAGAUUUAGCUGGGGUCCACAUGUUCUAGGAAAGCCCCAACAAAGACUGAGGGUGCUGUCUGCAAACUCCAGACUGUGGUUACCGAAGGGAUUAAAGUGGUUUACAAAAA